rnacentral:lncRNA from 1 species
UAGCGACUAAUAAUUUAGAAUCAGAAUAGGUCCAGUCUAGGGGAAAAAUCAAUAGGAAAUGCUAUUUGCUUCGUAAGAAUAAGAAUGAACUUCUAUGAAAUGAAAGAGUUUCACGGGAAUUGUCUUCAUCGUCGGAUAUCAUUGAGAAAGAAAUUGGAAGAAGUGUUAUCGAACAAUUUCCUGCAAUUCUUACCAUGAUGGAAUUAGUAAAGAAUCAAGCUACAAGUCUCGAUCUAUACGAAAGGCACUUGUUUUUUUCUUUCUUUUGGUUUCAUUGAUAAUAGAAAAGACUUACUCUAAAGGGGCGCUAGCGCUUGACUAAUAAGAUAUCAAAGGGGCCUGAAAAAACGUAAGAGGCUGCUACUCUAGGCUCGCUUCGCUUUUUCAAGCUCCGCCCCUUCUUUCAAAAAUCAACAAACAGCGCUAUCGAGCAAGAAAGGGUGAUGCGCUAAGUCUCAACGGCUUUCGCGCAGCUGCUACACCCUUACUUCUUGCCUUAUCUUACUUAGUAAAGCAACCUUUCGCGCUAGGCGCUC